AUUGAACGCUGGCGGCAUGCCUUACACAUGCAAGUCGAACGGUAACAGGUCUUCGGAUGCUGACGAGUGGCGAACGGGUGAGUAAUACAUCGGAACGUGCCUAGUAGUGGGGGAUAACUACUCGAAAGAGUGGCUAAUACCGCAUGAGAUCUACGGAUGAAAGCAGGGGAUCGCAAGACCUUGUGCUACUAGAGCGGCCGAUGGCAGAUUAGGUAGUUGGUGGGAUAAAAGCUUACCAAGCCGACGAUCUGUAGCUGGUCUGAGAGGACGAUCAGCCAAACUGGGACUGAGACACGGCCCAGACUCCUACGGGAGGCAGCAGUGGGGAAUUUUGGAAAAUGGGCGCAAGCCUGAUCCAGCAAUGCCGCGUGCAGGAUGAAGGCCUUCGGGUUGUAAACUGCUUUUGUACGGAACGAAAAGCCCUGGGUUAAUACCCUGGGGUCAUGACGGUACCGUAAGAAUAAGCACCGGCUAACUACGUGCCAGCAGCCGCCGCAGUAA
rnacentral:rRNA from 1 species